UUACAACGGAGAGUUUGAUCCUGGCUCAGGAUGAACGCUAGCGGCAGGCCUAACACAUGCAAGUCGAACGGUAACAGGUCUUCGGAUGCUG
rnacentral:rRNA from 1 species